rnacentral:rRNA from 1 species
UAACACGUGGACAACCUGCCCUGAGGACUGGAAUAAUCCCGGGAAACUGGGGGUAAUUCCAGAUAUGUCAGAACUCCUGGAAUGGGUUCUGGCAGAAAUGCUCCGGCGCCUCAGGAUGGGUCUGCGGCCUAUCAGGGUAGUAGUGGGUGUAACGUACCCACUAGCCUACGACGGGUACGGGUUGUGAGAGCAAGAGCCCGGAGAUGGAUUCUGAGACAUGAAUCCAGGCCCUACGGGGUGCAGCAGGCGCGAAAACUUUACAAUGCGGGCAACCGCGAUAAGGGGACCUCGAGUGCUGGGUUACAAACCUGGCUGUUGGGCUGCCUAAAAAGCAGUCUAUAGCAAGGGCCGGGCAAGACCGGUGCCAGCCGCCGCGGUAACACCGGCGGCUCGAGUGGUAACCGCUGUUAUUGGGUCUAAAGGGUCUGUAGCCUGCCGGCUAAGUCUCUUGGGAAAUCUGGCAUCUCAAGUGUCAGGCUGCCAGGGGAUACUGGUCGGCUUGGGACCGGGAGAGGUGAGAGGUACCUCGGGGGUAGGGGUGAAAUCUUGUAAUCCUCGAGGGACCACCAGUGGCGAAGGCGUCUCACCAGAACGGAUCCGACGGCAAGGGACGAAAGCUAGGGGCACGAACCGGAUUAGAUACCCGGGUAGUCCUAGCCGUAAACGAUACUCGCUAGGUGUCGGCCACGGUGCGACCGUGGUCGGUGCCGUAGGGAAGCCGUGAAGCGAGCCACCUGGGAAGUACGGCCGCAAGGCUGAAACUUAAAGGAAUUGGCGGGGGAGCACAAUC